GGAUCACUCGGCUCGUGUGUCGAUGAAGAGCGCAGCCAACUGUGUGAAUUAAUGCGAACUGCAUACUGCUCUGAACAUCGACAUCUUGAACGCACAUUGCGA
rnacentral:rRNA from 1 species